GCCAGGGUCAGAUGCCACGUCCUGCCUCAUAUUGUGCCCAUCAUUGCUGAAAGUGGAGUGAAACUCCAGAGCUGAAAAGCAGAGUCACAGUGAGAGAAUGGGGAAUUAUCUCCUGAGAGAAUUCAGUUGCCUGAGAAACAAUCAAAAGAAACUCAAGAAAGUAAACGAAGAUGUGGAAAGAAAACGGCAGGAAAUGACUACAUAUGAGAGACAAAAUCAAGUUCAAGAU